ACACUCUUGCAGUUUAAGACUAUAGUCGAGCGGCUGCACAGGACAACAACAUAGACGACCCUAGCUUUCUUUUCAAGCCAUUGAAUCGUGGUUUCGCAUUUCAGUAUAAAAGAUGAUCUGAGAUGCAUACACUCUCUCUAUUACUCUGUUAGGUUAUGAGUUUUCCAUUUGAGAACUUUUAGGAUCAUCUAAAGUAAAUCAAUGACUUUCUGUCCUCUAUGGACAAGAGAAGCAUUUGGCAAUGCAUGAUUAGUUAACUAGUGUUUUUA
rnacentral:lncRNA from 1 species